rnacentral:tRNA from 1 species
GGCUAUGUAGCUCAGCUGGUUAGAGCACAGCACUCAUAAUGCUGGGGUCGGUGGUUCAAGUCCACCCAUAGCCA